rnacentral:rRNA from 1 species
UACGUAGGGGGCAAGCGUUGUCCGGAUUUAUUGGGCGUAAAGAGCGUGUAGGCGGUUAGGUAGGUCCGUUGUGAAAACUCGAGGCUCAACCUCGAGACGCCGAUGGAAACCAUCUGACUAGAGUCCGGAAGAGGAGAGUGGAAUUCCUGGUGUAGCGGUGAAAUGCGCAGAUAUCAGGAAGAACACCGAUGGCGAAGGCAGGUCUCUGGGCAUUAACUGACGCUGAGGAGCGAAAGCAUGGGGAGCGAACAGG